GCCAGGGUUACUGGCAUUUGUAGCAAGACUUUAUUCCGUUUUGGGCAGCCAUGGUGUGAAAAGAAUAAAAGGACUACAAAUCUCUUUGGCUCACAGAACACCUAAUGCGGUGUGGAUAUUGUCAAUGGAUUUGACAUCAGAUGGUAUUUGAGAUUUUGAAAAUGAAGCCUGGUUAAAGCCCAAGGUUUGAUCGUGCUACGCGUGCUAAAGAUAAGGGGGUCUCGCUGUCGCGAUCUCGGCUCACUGCAACCUUCGACUCCUGGGUUCAAGUGAUUCUUCUGCCUCAGCCUCCUGAGUAGCUGGGAUUACGGACGUACACCACCAUGCCUGGCUAAUUUUUGUAUGUUAGUAGAGAUGGGGUUUUAUCAUGUUGGCCAGGCUGAUCUCAAACUCCUGGCCUCAGGUGAUCCACCCACUUCGGCCUCCCAAAGUGCUGGGACUACAGGUGUGAGUCACUGUGACCAGCCCAUAGAGGAAACUGUGCAAAGUUAUGUGCGUGAAAAACCUUCAGGAUGGAGAGAAUCAGCUGCCUACCUUGAACUACCUUGAAUAAGGCUGCCUUUGCUCUAAGAAAACCUGAAAAGUCUUCAACUAAAAGCUGAAAAGUCUUCAACUAUUACGUGAGGAUCUGCAGUUGGGGUCUAUGCUGUAGUGACUCAAGAUCACUGAUAGAACUUAAAGUCUAAUUUUUUUUUCAGUUAGGUGCAUCCCGAUACAGAAAUAGUGAAGAGUAUUUUAGCUAGGACCCAAAAUUGCCAAGGUUCUUGGAACUUCACAAAGGUCAAAGCUUGAACUGUGUCUGAAGAGGGUAUCAGAAUGUAUCUUUAUUCAGUACCAUAGACUAAGAAAGAAAAACAACUUUAUUUGUACGUUAUAUGAGGAAUCCUCCUCAUGAUCUCACAUUUGUUAUCUUAGUUCCGUUUCCUCAACAAUGCUGUGACCCAGUGUGGAUUCCCAUGGAUCUUAUUGAAAAUGCUUAUUAAAACUGCUACUUGACAGAAACUUUAUAAUUUUAGACUAAUUUCUCUCCAUCCCCUCUGAAUAAAAAUUCACAUGGUCAUUGAAUUUUUAUGUGACAAUAAUGCAUAUAUAUAUAUACGUAUAAAUAUAUAUAAUACUCAAAUUCUUUGAUGCUUUGUGUGGCUUGGAAUAAAUGUUAAUAUUACAGA
rnacentral:lncRNA from 10 species